GCGUGAAUAAUGAUCUUUACUUCAUAGCAAGCGUUGGCCGGUUUAAAUAUAUUCUCCCCAUAUACGAGUCGUAGUUCCACCUGUGUUGUAUGUUAGAAUAGAUUUUAUAAAGAAUUUGACAAAAUGGAGUUCUAAAUUAAUGGUUUGAUAUAAAAGAAUUUAGUAAGUUUGCAAGAUGUUAAUAAGAAUCCAAUAAUGUAAAGUGGUGGACGUUUAUAUUUGUUUGAGUUGCUGGAGGGGGAAAAAGUUUUCAUUUGAGGAAAGAGGUCAAGUUUAGUAGCUUUCAAGUCAUUUGGGCAUGGCUUAAAACGGUUUCUCAUCUUUCUUCCUUGGAGCUUGAGUGUUUCUUUCGUUCCUUCAAAUAAGGUGUACAAGAUGAAAUGAUGGUGAAAGUUUAAAUUAAUGGUUUGAUAUAAAAGAAUUUAGUAAGUUUGCAAGAUGUUAAUAAGAAUCCAAUAAUGUAAAGUGGUGGACGUUUAUAUUUGUUUGAGUUGCUGGAGGGGGAAAAAGUUUUCAUUUGAGGAAAGAGGUCAAGUUUAGUAGCUUUCAAGUCAUUUGGGCAUGGCUUAAAACGGUUUCUCAUCUUUCUUCCUUGGAGCUUGAGUGUUUCUUUCGUUCCUUCAAAUAAGGUGUACAAGAUGAAAUGAUGGUGAAAGUUUAUGAUUCUCAUUGUUUGUUAACAAUAAAAGAGCGCCUGGUUCUUUAAAGGAUAAACCUCUCAUGUUAUGGACAGUAAACUCUACAAGCUGUACUAGAGCAUAUAACAAUGAAAAUUUGAUGAUUGUCGUUACUAGUUAACAAUAAGAGGGCACCUAGUUUCUGGAAAAGAUAAACAUAUUUAUGGACUGUAAACUCUACAUACCCGAGUUUUUGAUUCUCAUUGUUUGUUAACAAUAAAAGAGCGCCUGGUUCUUUAAAGGAUAAACCUCUCAUGUUAUGGACAGUAAACUCUACAAGCUAUACUAGAGCAUAUAACAAUGAAAAUUUGAUGAUUGUCGUUACUAGUUAACAAUAAGAGGGCACCUAGUUUCCGGAAAAGAUAAACAUAUUUAUGGACUGUAAACUCUACAUACCUGAUGCACCUCUUUGUUAUAUGGCCUAUAAAAGAAUUACCACAAUAAAGUCGGUAAAGCAUAUAAUUUAACAUUAUUAGAAGAAUUUGAACUUUUUGGUAUUUUUUGGGAUAGAAAAGUUGGAAACGUGGUUUUCCUGUCUAGCUUUUAUGUAAUAAGUACUUUCUUUUGUAAGGUAGUCACUGCUAGUUUGGAUGAGCCAAAUUGGAAAGUUAGACACUCAACUUUUGGCGCAACGAGUGUGUCUUGUGGCUCAAUGGAAAGAAAAAGUAGUUGAACCACCAAUGCCUUUAAAUAAAAGGGAUCAUUAAUGCCUUCCCCAAAAAAAAAAAUGAAGUUGGCCGACUGAUCAUAUGUUUCUUUUCUCGAUUUCCUUCUUUUUUGUUAAGCUUGUGAUCUUAUUCUUCAAGACAUUAGAAGCAUUUCUUGG
rnacentral:lncRNA from 1 species